CAGGCGGUGGAGGGGGCCUUCACCACGGCGGGCCUCACGGCUCCGCGGAUCUUCACGGCGGCGCCUUCCGCCGGGGCACGCCGGCUCGCCUGA
rnacentral:tRNA from 1 species